GUCUUACUUGACAUUUGAACAAGAUGUCGUCUAUUACCAAAGUUGUCAUAAUUCUUUGUGCUGUUGAAUGGUACUUUGCGCAUGAGACAACAAAUGAAGAAGUUACUUUGUCACGAGUUUCGGGUAAGCAUGCUUGCAGCACUGUGCAGAGGCGGAUGGAGGGGAAAUGGGACCCCCCCCCCUGUUUUGCUUUCGUUGCUCUCAAUAUUCCACGUUUGGAUUGUGCUAUUUAUUCCAAAAUAGUUUAUCCCUAAACUUCAACAAAAUACAUUAUGUUUGAAGAGAGCAUCAUAUUCUGUUAACCUAUUUAUGUCUUCUACAAAUGUAUUUCAUUUAUGGAUAUGAUCAUCCCUAGUUAAAUGUAGUACACUAGCUGAACUGUGAAAUAAAAUGGCCUUUCUUACUUUUAUUUAUUGUUGUAUGUUUACGUCUCAGGUUUCCGUCAAUGAAGCAUCACUCCACCACCAUAACUAGAGAUUUAUGUAAAUACAAUGUACAUUAUAUCAUAGAUCAAUAGGUAUUCAGAACUAAACACGUGUUCACACAAUAUGUCAAGCUCUAAAUCGUUAUAAAUGUAAAAAAGGUUGAUAAAUUAAACAGAAAGUAUUCCAGAUCUACAAUUAAUACCAAAACUAUCUAAAUAUUAAACCUGCUAUGCUAUCAUUGUUAAAAUUCGAAAAAAGAUCAUCCCUACUACCAGUAAUCGUAGUUUUUGAGUUUGAGAUUUCAUUCGCUGGUAUUAAAUAAAAUUGUCUGUGGAAUCUAAAUAUUUCAUGAAAAUGUGCAUUUAUUUUACCUUUUCUAAACCGACUGCUUCUACGCAUUUUCCCCUGUUCUAUUACAUAUAGAUGAGCUGACAAACCUAAAACUGGAAAUGAGAUCUAUGCAGAAAUAUAUGACUGAAGUUUUCAGAAAGAACGAGUUAAUUCAAUUGGAAAAUGACAAGCUGAAGAAAGAAAACAAAGUUUUGCAGAACAAAAUUGAUUCGCUGGAAAAGAAAACCAUAAAAAUAGAGAGAACCAUGAAUCAAAUGAAGACUACGUUUGAGUGGACACGACAUUAUACAACUGAGAAGGAAGCAGCAGAAAAAGUCAACCAGGACAAGGUUUCGAGAAGUGAAACUCUUGGUCGAAUAAACACAAUUCAAGAAAAGAGUCCAAGAUUAAUAGUGCCCGCUG
rnacentral:lncRNA from 1 species